UCACGAGCAUCGUAAGGGCUGUAUCGCGCACAACGAAGCGAACAAAAAACACGGUAAAUAUCGCUGCAUCCUAUCGGAACUAGAUGGAAGUGAUCGUAAAGUUGAAAUCGGAGAAACGUAAAUAAAAAUAAACCGAGAGCUAAGAGGAGCUAGGGUACUUUCCGAACGCAAUCCCAUACAUCGAGAAUCCCAUAUAUAAAUGUUAUCGAUUCGAGGAAGUGAGAAAAAGUAUCGGAUGAAAAUACUUACAAGUAUGUCGAAGGUAGGGGAGUGUUUGAAAAAUAGAGAAGUUUGCAUGAAAGUUUGGAUAAAAGAAGAGGAAGAGAAGAAGCUGGAACUUGGGAUUACGAAACCGUGAGACGGGGAACUUGGCACGAGCUCGCUAUCUCAGACGCUUACAUUCAUCGAUGACUCUGCAGGGAUUCUCUGAUCGGGAUUAGUCUGGAUUUUUUCCGGGGGCUGUUCGAUCGUGGAAAGAAGCAAAUAUAAUCGAAAUGGAAAGUAAGUCGGCGCGGUAUUCGUGUUUUCCGGGGGUUAUCGCGACGCUGCAGGAUUAAAUCGAUUAAACCAUCCUGAAUCACGGCCGAUGGAUGAGCGGAAAAAUAAAAAGCAGCGAGAUGGACGAGGAGGAGACGAGGGGAAAGCGUCCUUCGGGUGAUUCACCGGGUUUGCGGUUAGGUUACUUCAGUCUGUACGCUGGCAGACGAGUGCGGACAAGUGGUUCUCAUAGCUGAUGCGAGAUCCAGCGAUCUCCAGUGAUCUUCCAACCUCGCGCGACUCGACAUACCGUUUUUCCAUUUUGUCUGACAAUGGAUAUUUCGAUUAUCCUUUUCCUCGAAAAGCAGUCCCGUUGUAUUUUCAUCUUCCAAGUUUACUUUUAUUCUCAGCUAUCCAACGUUAGCCAUUAAGAUAUCGUAUAUUUCCCUUAGUCGUUUCCGAACAAGUUGAACUUUCGUUACCGAAUAGAAUUUUUGACCGCUCGCGACGAAGCACGGCUCGAGAAAGCACCACUCGAGAAAGCACGAGUCGAGCAAGCACGAUACUCUCGGCCACACCCUCUUUCGAAAUAUCCGUCGUUGCUGUCGAAGAUUCAAGUACGGCGCUCGAGUGAAUUAAAAACUUUACGUAAUAAUGUACGUAAUCGAGAGAUUGGAAGAAAAGGCGGUACAAAUCUUCGAACAACGUUAAACGUACGUUGGGAACUUUAACCGAACGUCGAAGCUGGAAAAUUCAUAAGAAAACUUUCACCUCGUUUUUGGAAAAAACGAAUAACGAUAACGACACCAUCUAUCCACGAUACCAUGGUACUAUAACCGCCUACCAUAAACAAAACUGUACUUCUAUUCGAUUUCGUUCGAUAUGACCCGCUUAGUGGAACAAGAAGUUAACGAUGAUAAACGUACCGUACGAGUAAUCGUUACGCAUGGCACGUCGACGCUUUUAUCGAGAAAACAGAUCCGCCGUAGGUCUCGAUUCUCGAAAGACUAGGCUCGAAACGAAGGAACGAGCCAGCACGGUUAUUCCUGAAAAUCAGUGAUAAAAGGAGCAAGGAAGAAGCGUGUUGCGAAUGGAAGACUCGACGAAGAGUCCUUUCAAGACGAAGAAACACUCGAGCCGUUUCGCUUCAGUAACCGCGGUCUUGGUUCAGCUCCUCCCGGAUUCCUUUGUUUAAUGCCUUAUUGCGAUAUUUUAACACGGUUCCGCUGUUGCCAUGCGGCUCCACGCUUAUCCUGCUCGUCGUGUGUCGCCACAGUCGACCAAGAAUCAUCGUAAGUAGCACUCCUAUACCCGCUACAGUUAUGCAAUCGAGCCGUUUUUUCCCCGGGAUUAUCUCUCCUUUUUAGGAGAAUCUUUCAGACCGAUCCUUCGCGCGAUACGAAAGAAGUUUCGAUGCUGGCUGUACGUCGAUUGAAAAUUCGUCUCAUCUUUUUCAUUGUUUCUCUUUUUUUUUUUUUUUUUUAAAUAUAUGCGUAUCUGCAUCUUUCGGUAACUUUCACGUUACCAUUCAACAGAUUUCGUUCGUUUUUCAAACUUUCGACUACGAAGAAUAUCUUAGGCGCAAGAUUUCCGGAACAAACGCAUCGUAGUGUUAAAAGUUUAAAACCCCUACUAUCGACUUACUUCCACGGAGAGAAGAUUUAAUAACACUGUUAACAACGUAGGCGAGGCUGAGAGUAAAGUCGAGGUGAACAAGAGGCUCCUCCAAGCAGCGUAAAUAAUAGUUUGCAAGAACCGCGGAUAUCCGGCGGAUGCCGCAUGCGUACAUUUACUCCGACCCAUGUUGGACAUUACACACGGAUCAACUACUUUUCCUACAGAGUUUCCGAAUUCCUCUCUUAUCGACCUUUCUUUCUUUCAAAUUAUACUUUAAACGUAUCUGAAACUUGUUUCGGAAGAUCUACACUGUCUACGGUCUAUGCCACGGCGUAGUAAACACGACGAUCUUCAGCUAUUAUAUCAUUAAAUAUAAAUCGCAUUGAAUGAAAAAUCGUGCUAUUAUAAAAUCAUAGAAAAUUAAAGAAAUCCUUCGUUCCUCUAUCGUUUCCGCGAAUCUAACGAACGAAUUUAUACGAACGAAGGAAAAAUGCUAGAAACUAAGAUCGCCAACAUCCUACGUAUCAUGUGUACACGAAAGCCGUAUAAAACCGAGGAAACCUAUCGCGUACAAUAUAAAUGACACGGAGACGCGAUCGAUGAUCCUUCGCAUAGAACGAAAUUUUUGUUAUUGCUUGCUAGAACUUUACUACGAAAUGUCACUUAUGCGAGCGUCGUUAUAACGUAACUGUGAAAGUAUACGGGGAAACGAGUAAUGUAACGCGCGAAUUCAACAAAAUGCAUAGAAAACAGCUGGCAGAUUUGGUCGAGCGAGUCCUCCUCCGCUCAGACUCGCGUGGAUGCUUUAAUAUCCGCGUAAUGGAAACAAGAAAAACAGGAUCCGAGUGACACCGACGUCUAAAGUGCAGCUGCAAGUGGAUGAGCGUGCAGUGAAUUCCGAGUGCGUCUAAUUAAAAGUCAUCUGCAUAUUUAUGGAAGGGGAAGGGGAAACGGAGAGAAAGGGCUGGCGAUGGAUUAACGUAGGGAAAGCGGGGAAGCAGAGAAGCCGCUGAUGCCGCUCCGCUCUGCUUUUGCUACCGCUGCUUCUGUGGCUCCUGGUAUAUUAAAAAAUAAACGACGUAACAAAGAAGCGGAAGAAACAAAGGUAACGACAAAGAGAGGAGAGGCAAUCAACGCGGAUAGAAUCGAAAAGAGUUCUGUUAACGCGCCGCCGUCUAAGUACCGCGCGGCGCAACAGCGAUAAUUGCACGGUUCGUGACCAACAAGUAUGUUUUCACAGACGACUGUACCGGAGUCUCGCGGAGAAAAGAGAUUUCCGGGCUCCUUUCGAUGAACGGCCAACAUUCUCAUGGUGGACAGAAACGCGUGUCCAGGUAAUUACGGUGAUUAAACGAGGGGAAAGACCGACAUCUCGGCGAAAACCGCUUGCAUUUAUUCGCGCAAGGAAAUGACGUCAAAAGGAAGUGUUUCGAUACAAUCGUCCUACCUAUUGCAACCAACCAAACGCCAUAACGGUACUACAAAAAUACGUUUUCGUUGCGAUAGUGGUUCCACUCGCAGGAAACAUAACGAAACGUUUCGUUCUUACCACAUACGUGUCAUCGAUUAGAUGAAAAAACUAAUUUAAUAUUAGUAAGUAUGCGUUUGAUCUUGAUCGCUUCUAGCACGCUUGA